GAUGAACGCUGGCGGCGUGCCUAAUACAUGCAAGUCGAGCGAACGGACGAGAAGCUUGCUUCUCUGAUGUUAGCGGCGGACGGGUGAGUAACACGUGGAUAACCUACCUAUAAGACUGGGAUAACUUCGGGAAACCGGAGCUAAUACCGGAUAAUAUUUUGAACCGCAUGGUUCAAAAGUGAAAGACGGUCUUGCUGUCACUUAUAGAUGGAUCCGCGCUGCAUUAGCUAGUUGGUAAGGUAACGGCUUACCAAGGCAACGAUGCAUAGCCGACCUGAGAGGGUGAUCGGCCACACUGGAACUGAGACACGGUCCAGACUCCUACGGGAGGCAGCAGUAGGGAAUCUUCCGCAAUGGGCGAAAGCCUGACGGAGCAACGCCGCGUGAGUGAUGAAGGUCUUCGGAUCGUAAAACUCUGUUAUUAGGGAAGAACAUAUGUGUAAGUAACUGUGCACAUCUUGACGGUACCUGAGCAGAAAGCCACGGCUAACUACGU
rnacentral:rRNA from 1 species